AUUGAACGCUGGCGGAAUGCUUUACACAUGCAAGUCGAACGGCAGCACGGGGGCAACCCUGGUGGCGAGUGGCGAACGGGUGAGUAAUACAUCGGAACGUGCCCAGUCGUGGGGGAUAACGUAGCGAAAGCUACGCUAAUACCGCAUACGAACUCUGGUUGAAAGCGGGGGACUCGCAAGGGCCUCGCGCGAUUGGAGCGGCCGAUGGCAGAUUAGGUAGUUGGUGGGGUAAAGGCNCACCAAGCCGACGAUCUGUAGCUGGUCUGAGAGGACGACCAGCCACACUGGGACUGAGACACGGCCCAGACUCCUACGGGAGGCAGCAGUGGGGAAUUUUGGACAAUGGGCGCAAGCCUGAUCCAGCCAUUCCGCGUGCAGGAUGAAGGCCCUCGGGUUGUAAACUGCUUUUGUACGG
rnacentral:rRNA from 1 species